AGCGACCGCUUUCGGCAGGCCUCCCCCAUGCAAUUCGCCCGGAUCCUUCGUGCUUAGUGGCUGCCUGUGGAGUAACACGUUGGAACGUGCCCUUUGGUUCGGACCCACUCAGGGAAACUUGAGCUAAUACCUUCUUUUGCCUUCGUGCUCACGAUUUAUCGCCCUUGGAGCGGCCCGCGUAGGAUUAGCUAGUUGGUGGGGUAAAGGCCCACCAAGGGUACGAUACGUAGCGGGUCUGAGAGGAGGAUCAGCAACAUUGGGACUGAGACACGGCCCAAACACCUACGGGAGGCAGCAGUGGGGAAGCUUGCGCAAGGGGCGAAAGCCGGACGCAGACAUGCCGAGUGAAUGAUGAAGGGCUUAGGAGUGGAAAAUGAUGUCACAGGGGAAGAGAAGGACGGUACCCGGAGAAGAAGCCCCGGCUAACUUCGUGCCAGCCGCCGCGGUAA
rnacentral:rRNA from 1 species